rnacentral:rRNA from 1 species
UACGAAGGGGGCUAGCGUUGCUCGGAAUGACUGGGCGUAAAGGGCGCGUAGGCGGCCUGGACAGUCGGAUGUGAAAUGCCUGGGCUCAACCUGGGGGCUGCAUCCGAGACGUUUGGGCUGGAGUGAGGAAGAGGGUCGUGGAAUUCCCAGUGUAGAGGUGAAAUUCGUAGAUAUUGGGAAGAACACCGGUGGCGAAGGCGGCGACCUGGUCCUUUACUGACGCUGAGGCGCGAAAGCGUGGGGAGAUAACAGG